AAAACGACUCUCGGCAACGGAUAUBUCGGCUCACGCAUCGAUGAAGAACGUAGCAAAAUGCGAUACUUGGUGUGAAUUGCAGAAUCCCGUGAAUCAUCGAGUUUUUGAACGCAAGUUGCGCCCAAAACCAUCCGGUUGAGGGCACGCCUGCCUGGGCGUCACAC
rnacentral:rRNA from 1 species